UGCAAGUCGAACGGAGAUUCAGCAAUGGAUCUUAGUGGCGAACGGGUGAGUAACGCGUAGGCAAUCUGCCUUCUAGAUGGGGACAACAUCCCGAAAGGGGUGCUAAUACCGAAUGUUGUAGUUGGUUCGCAUGGACUAGCUACUAAAGGUGGCCUCUGAAUAUGCUACCGCUAGAAGAUGAGCCUGCGUCUGAUUAGCUAGUUGGAGGGGUAACGGCCCACCAAGGCUUCGAUCAGUAGCCGGUCUGAGAGGAUGAACGGCCACACUGGGACUGAGACACGGCCCAGACUCCUACGGGAGGCAGCAGUGGGGAAUCUUCCGCAAUGGACGAAAGUCUGACGGAGCAACGCCGCGUGAGUGAAGAAGGUUUUCGGAUCGUAAAGCUCUUUCGUUAGGGACGAACGUGCUCUUUGUGAAUAAUGAGGAGUAAUGACGGUACCUAAAUAAGAAGCCACGGCUAACUACGUGCCAGCAGCCGCGGUAAUACGUAGGUGGCAAGCGUUGUCCGGAAUUAUUGGGCGUAAAGCGCGCGCAGGCGGGAUAUCAAGUCUGUCUUAAAAGUGCGAGGCUCAACCUCGUGAGGGGACGGAAACUGGUAUUCUUGAGUGUCGGAGAGGAAAGUGGAAUUCCAAGUGUAGCGGUG
rnacentral:rRNA from 1 species